rnacentral:rRNA from 1 species
CUACGUGCCAGCAGCCGCGGUAAUAUGUAGGGGGCAAGCGUUGUCCGGAUUUAUUGGGCGUAAAGAGCGUGUAGGCGGUUAGGUAGGUCCGUUGUGAAAACUCGAGGCUCAACCUCGAGACGCCGGCGGAAGCCAUCUAGCUAGAGUCCGGAAGAGGAGACUGGAAUUCCUGGUGUAGCGGUGAAAUGCGCAGAUAUCAGGAGGAACACCCGUGGCGAAAGCGGGUCUCUGGGACGGUACUGACGCUGAGACGCGAAAGCGUGGGGAGCGAACAGGAUUAGAUACCCUGGUAGUCCACGCCGUAAACGAUGGGUGCUAGGUGUGGGGGGUGUCGACUCCCCCCGUGCCGAAGCUAACGCAUUAAGCACCCCGCCUGGGGAGUACGGCCGCAAGGCUAAAACUCAAAGGAAUUGACGGAAUCGAAUU